CUACGGGAGGCUGCAGUGGGGAAUAUUGCACAAUGGGGGAAACCCUGAUGCAGCAACGCCGCGUGGAGGAUGACGCAUUUCGGUGUGUAAACUCCUUUUAUAUAGGAAGAUAAUGACGGUACUAUAUGAAUAAGCACCGGCUAACUCCGUGCCAGCAGCCGCGGUAAUACGGAGGGUGCAAGCGUUACUCGGAAUCACUGGGCGUAAAGCGCGCGCAGGCGGCCUUUUAAGUUGGAUGUGAAAGCCUACGGCUCAACCGUAGAACUGCAUCCAAAACUACUAGGCUAGAGUCUGGGAGGGGAAGAUGGAAUUAGUUGUGUAGGGGUAAAAUCCGUAGAGAUAACUAGGAAUACCAAAAGCGAAGGCAAUCUUCUGGAACAGUACUGACGCUGAGGCGCGAAAGCGUGGGGAGCAAACAGGAUUAGAUACCCCUGUAGUC
rnacentral:rRNA from 1 species